AUGAAUUCAACGGAUGACGCUGGUGCAGCAGGAGGCCCGGGAGGUCCGAGGCCCGCCUCCCACCAUGGGAGGCCGAGGUGGCUUCCAUGGCGGCCCCGGCUACGCGGUUGGGGGUGCAGCCGGGGACGUGGGCACGGCUGGGGCCGGGGCGCAAGCGGCGGCAAGGCCGAGGACAAGGAGUGGAUCCUCGUCACCAAACUGGGCCGCCUGGUGAAGGACAUGAAGAUCAAGUCCCUGGAGGAGAUCUACCUGUUCUCGCUGCCCAUCAAGGAGUCGGAGAUCAUCGACUUCUUCCUGGGCGCGUCGCUCAAGGACGAGGUGCUGAUGAUCAUGCCGGUGCAGAAGCAGACGCGUGCCGGCCAGCGCACCUGCUUCAAGGCCUUCGUCGCCAUUGGGGACUACAACGGUCACGUGGGCCUGGGCGUCAAGUGUUCCAAGGAGGUGGCCACGGCCAUCCGGGGCGCCAUCAUCCUGGCCAAGCUGUCCAUCGUGCCGGUGCGCCGAGGCUACUGGGGCAACAAGAUAGGCAAGCCCCACACGGUGCCGUGCAAGGUGACGGGGCACGGUGCCGUGCAAGGUGACGGGGCGCUGCGG